CACACACACACACGAGGCAGUGAGGAGGAGAAGGAGGUUGUUGCUACGCCCGCGUCGCGAAACCAGGGCUCAUUGUGUGUGCGCCCAGAGCAGCUACGGGGAAACACGUGGGACAACCGACCAGUUUGGGGUCAUGGUUUAUUCAACGCGUAUUUUCAGUGUGGUCUAACUUGGUAAUCUGAUCUGAAAGACUUUCCCUGAAUGUGCCUUAAUUUCACCUCUUUUUCCUUUCUCCUUUUCUUAGCUUACUGAAAAUGUUGGCGACCAAAGGCCGGAUUCAGGGACGUGUGCUGCUUGUGCUACUCGCGUUACGUGGGCAAACUGCUCGCUGUCAUCAUCGAUACAAAGGCUCUGCGACCCGUGAAGAACUGAGACUCCUUCUGGUCGGUAAAACAGGCUCGAGAAAGAGUGCGUCCGGAAACACCAUCCUGG